GAUGAAGAACGCAGCGAAAUGCGAUAAGUAGCGUGAAUUGCAGAAUUCAGUGAAUCAUCGAAUCUUUGAACGCACAUUGCGCCCUUUGGUAUUCCAAAGGGCAUGCCUGUUCGAGCGUCAUUUGUACCCUCAAGCUUUGCUUGGUGUUGGGCGUCUUGUCUCUAGCUUUGCUGGAGACUCGCCUUAAAGUAAUUGGCAGCCGGCCUACUGGUUUCGGAGCGCAGCACAAGUCGCACUCUCUAUCAGCAAAGGUCUAGCAUCCAUUAAGCCUUUUUUUCAACUUUUGACCUCGGAUCAGGUAGGGAUACCCGCUGAACUUAAGCAUAUCAAUAAGCGGAGGA
rnacentral:misc_RNA from 1 species